AGACGUAGGAGGCGAGCGUUAUCCGGAUUUACUGGGCGUAAAGGGCAAGUAGGCGGCAUAACAAGUCAGUUGUGACAGAUCCCGGCUCAACUGGGAGAGGACGAAUGAGACUGUUAAGCUAGAGGACAGGAGAGGGGAGCGGAAUUCCUUGUGUAGCGGUGGAAUGCUCAGAUACAAGGAAGAACACCAGUGGCGAAGGCGGCUCUCUGGCCUGAUCCUGACGCUGAAGAGCGAAAGCUAGGGGAGCGAACGGGCUUAGAUACCCCGGUAGUCCUAGCUGUAAACGUUGGGUACUAGGUAUUGGGGGUGAGAACACCUUCAGUGCCGAAGCGAACGCGUUAAGUACCCCGCCUGGGGACUACGGCCGCAAGGUUAAA
rnacentral:rRNA from 1 species